rnacentral:rRNA from 1 species
CACGUAGGGCGCAAGCGUUGUCCGGAAUUAUUGGGCGUAAAGAGCUCGUAGGCGGUCUGUUGCGUCCGCUGUGAAAACCCGAGGCUCAACCUCGGGCCUGCAGUGGGUACGGGCAGACUAGAGUGCGGUAGGGGAGAUUGGAAUUCCUGGUGUAGCGGUGAAAUGCGCAGAUAUCAGGAGGAACACCGAUGGCGAAGGCAGCUCACUGGGACGGUACUGACGCUGAGACGCGAAAGCGUGGGGAGCAAACAGG